GAGAGAGGCUCGCAAGCAACGAAGACUGCUAACUUUCGCAACCCCGGUUGAACCCCUGGGCUCACUCA
rnacentral:tRNA from 2 species